GCAAGACUAAAACUCAAAGGAAUUGACGGGGGCCCGCACAAGCGGUGGAGCAUGUGGUUUAAUUCGACGCAACGCGAAGAACCUUACCUGGGUUUGACAUCCUGUGAACGUCUAAGAGAUUAGACAGUGCCUUCGGGAGCACAGAGACAGGUGCUGCAUGGCUGUCGUCAGCUCGUGUCGCGAGAUGUUUGGUUAAGUCCAGCAACGAGCGCAACCCUUAUCGUUAGUUGCCAGCACGUAAUGGUGGGAACUCUAGCGAGACUGCCCGGGUUAACCGGGAGGAAGGCGGGGAUGACGCCAAGUCCUCAUGGCCCUUAUAUCCAGGGCUACACACGUGCUACAAUGGUAAAUACAGAGGGCAGCAAGCCGGCAACGGUUAGCAAAUCCCUAAAGUUUAUCUCAGUCCGGAUUGGAGUCUGCAACUCGACUCCAUGAAGUUGGAAUCGCUAGUAAUCGCGGAUCAGCAUGCCGCGGUGAAUAUGUUCCCGGGCCUUGUACACACCGCCCGUCACACCAUGAGAGUUGAUUAUACCCGACGUCGUUGGGCCAACCUUUUAUUAGGAGGCAAGCGCCUAAGGUAUGGUUGAUAAUUGGGGUGAAGUCGUAACAAGGUA
rnacentral:rRNA from 1 species